rnacentral:lncRNA from 1 species
UCUAAGUAUCUUUGGGUUUGUCCUUUUUCUGCAGGUGGGUUAAUAGCAUUUUAGAAGCCUUGCAAGUUCAUGAGCGAUUCCAGAAGGUCUAGAGUUUGUAAGUCGAAGCCUUUCUAAUUUCGUCUGGUAAUUUCUAAACACAAGUCACCGUAAGUUGGUUUCUACUGAAUUAUGAUACCAUUGAAAGACUAAAUUUGAAUACAUAGAUGUCUUUCCUCUCUAACACAUUAAAGCUUUUAGAUGGGGUUGUUCAACACAACAUCAAAUCAUGCACAGCUCAAGUUCAAUCUCCCUGUCAUGCAUUUGUGAAAAUUGUACCUGUUAGGCUUUAGAUUAAAAAUAAAUUCGGCUAGCAUGCAAGGGGACGUGUAGACUAAAUUCGAAUAAAUGAAUGCAUCUCCUCACUUUAAUGGGUUAAUGCCUUGAGCUUAAUAGACGAGUUUCAAAAUAUGCCUUUACUCUUUGUUAUUUUAGGCACUAGAGGCUAAUUAGGAUCUUAAUUUUUCAGGUUAGAUGGGCGCAGAGAUUCCAAACAUCUAGAAACUCGAGUUAAAGACGGUAUAAACAGCAGGGGGGAAAAAAAGGAUCUCCCUGCUGUUUGCCAUUCAGAAUAAGCAUGUAUAUCUGGCUAAGUUUUGUAAGAGGUGAGUGAAGAACAUACUUAGCAAUGACGCUCUUAGGAAGAUGUAUUGCAGAAAUGUAAAUGCAUAUUCCUUGCUGUAGAAUGUAAAUAUCAUAUUUAUGUUAAGAGAAAAUUUCAUUGGGUAUCAAAAUUUGGCUGUUCAUUAUAAAAAAUGUUACCUUUUAAAUUUUCUGAAUUAUUUGAAUACCUU